GACAGAGGGUGCAAACGUUGUUCGGAAUUACUGGGCGUAAAGCGCAUGUAGGCGGUUCGUCAAGUCAGAUGUGAAAGCCCUGGGCUUAACCCAGGAAGUGCAUUUGAAACUCACGAACUUGAGUCCCGGAGAGGAAGGCGGAAUUCUCGGUGUAGAGGUGAAAUUCGUAGAUAUCGAGAGGAACAUCGGUGGCGAAGGCGGCCUUCUGGACGGUGACUGACGCUGAGAUGCGAAAGCGUGGGGAGCAAACAGG
rnacentral:rRNA from 1 species